UACUGGUCGUGGGGCUGGGCUUUAAACCCGAUACGC
rnacentral:tRNA from 1 species